rnacentral:tRNA from 1 species
GCCUGGGUGGCUCAGUUGGUUGAGCAUCUGACUUUGGCUCAGGUCGUGAUCUCACAGUUCAUGAGUUCGAGCCCCACACUGGGCU